AGAAAUAAAAAAGAAAAAACUCAACAUCUAUCUUCUGGACGUAAGCGUCAUUAUACUCUACAUCAUCCGCUUAGAAAACUCGUUUUAUUAUAGUUUUGUUUCUCUUUCAUCUUGUGUUUUCCUUAGAAGCAGAAGCCGGAAAUAGAGGAACAACCACACAGAAGAAAAUAUCAAAGUUCAGCAGAACAAUACGAACAUCCUCCCAAAUUAUCAACAGAAUUUGAAAACUUAAUAAUAAGACAAAUCAACUACUUGUAUGAAAACAACACGUGUAAAUAAUAAAUUAUAAAUUAGAAAACUCUGCUGUUAUGAAAUUGAAGUAAGUUAAAUGUUGAGUCAUUUUAUUCUUUUGGAAUAUUUAAAACUUUUUGCAACUAAAACUAAGAAGAAAAUCAAUAUUCU